GAUGAAGAACGUAGCGAAAUGCGAUAAGUAGUGUGAAUUGCAGAAUCCAGUGAAUCAUCGAAUCUUUGAACGCACAUUGCGCCCGCCAGCAUUCUGGCGGGCAUGCCUGUUCGAGCGUCAUUUCAACCCUCGACCUCCCCUUGGGGAGGUCGGCGUUGGGGACCGGCAGCACACCGCCGGCCCUGAAAUGGAGUGGCGGCCCGUCCGCGGCGACCUCUGCGCAGUAAUACAGCUCGCACCGGGACCCCGACGCGGCCACGCCGUAAAACACCCAACUUCUGAACGUUGACCUCGAAUCAGGUAGGACUACCCGCUGAACUUAAGCAUAUCAAUAAGCGGAGGA
rnacentral:misc_RNA from 1 species